rnacentral:rRNA from 1 species
GGGCGAUGGGGCAUCUCUACGAUUUGCUUCUAGCGGUGCUGGACAGGGUGCUCUCAAGAUCAGUGGCGAACGGAAGAGUAACACGUGAGUAACCUGCCCCUGACUCUGGGAUAAGCGUUGGAAACGACGUCUAAUACCGGAUAUUUCCUUCGAAGGCAUCUUCGUUGGUGGAAAGAAUUUCGGUUGGGGAUGGACUCGCGGCCUAUCAGCUUGUUGGUGAGGUAAUGGCUCACCAAGGCGACGACGGGUAGCCGGCCUGAGAGGGUGACCGGCCACACUGGGACUGAGACACGGCCCAGACUCCUACGGGAGGCAGCAGUGGGGAAUAUUGCACAAUGGGCGCAAGCCUGAUGCAGCAACGCCGCGUGAGGGACGACGGCCUUCGGGUUGUAAACCUCUUUUGGCAGGGAAGAAGCGAAAGUGACGGUACCUGCAGAAAAAGCACCGGCUAACUACGUGCCAGCAGCCGCGGUAAUACGUAGGGUGCAAGCGUUGUCCGGAAUUAUUGGGCGUAAAGAGCUCGUAGGCGGUUUGUCGCGUCUGCUGUGAAAACGCGAGGCUCAACCUCGCGCCUGCAGUGGGUACGGGCAGACUAGAGUGUGGUAGGGGAGAUUGGAAUUCCUGGUGUAGCGGUGGAAUGCGCAGAUAUC